rnacentral:rRNA from 1 species
GGGCCCGCACAAGCGGUGGAGCAUGUGGUUUAAUUCGAUGAUACGCGAGGAACCUUACCAGGGCUUAAAUGGGAAAUGACAGGGGCAGAGACGCCCCCUUCUUCGGACAUUUUUCAAGGUGCUGCAUGGUUGUCGUCAGCUCGUGCCGUGAGGUGUCAGGUUAAGUCCUAUAACGAGCGCAACCCCUACCGUUAGUUGCCAGCGAGUCAUGUCGGGGACUCUAACGGGACUGCCGGUGCAAACCGUGAGGAAGGUGGGGACGACGUCAAAUCAUCACGGCCCUUACGUCCUGGGCCACACACGUGCUACAAUGGUAGGUACAGAGGGAAGCCACCCCGCGAGGGGGAGCGGAUCUACAAAACCUAUCUCAGUUCGGAUCGGAGUCUGCAACUCGACUCCGUG